UACGAAGGGGGCUAGCGUUGCUCGGAAUCACUGGGCGUAAAGGGUGCGUAGGCGGGUCUUUAAGUCAGGGGUGAAAUCCUGGAGCUCAACUCCAGAACUGCCCUUUGAUACUGAAGAUCUUGAGUUCGGGAGAGGUGAGUGGAACUGCGAGUGUAGAGGUGAAAUUCGUAGAUAUUCGCAAGAACACCAGUGGCGAAGGCGGCUCACUGGCCCGGUACUGACGCUGAGGAGCGAAA
rnacentral:rRNA from 1 species